AACGAACGCUGGCGGCAUGCCUAACACAUGCAAGUCGAACGAAACCUUCGGGUCUAGUGGCGCACGGGUUCGUAACGCGUGGGAACCUGCCCUUAGGUUCGGAAUAACUCCCCGAAAGGGGUGCUAAUACCGGAUAAUGUCUUCGGACCAAAGAUUUAUCGCCAUUGGUUGGGCCCGCGUUGGAUUAGCUAGUUGGUAGGGUAAAAGCCUACCAAGGCGACGAUCCAUAGCUGGUCUGAGAGGAUGAUCAGCCACACUGGGACUGAGACACGGCCCAGACUCCUACGGGAGGCAGGAGUGGGGAAUAUUGGAAAAUGGGGGAAAGGAUGAUCCAGCAAUGCCGGGUGAGUGAUGAAGGCAUUAGGGUUGUAAAGCUCUUUUAACCGGGAUGAUAAUGACAGUACCGGGAGAAUAAGCUCCGGCUAACUCCGUG
rnacentral:rRNA from 1 species